UACGUAGGGUGCGAGCGUUGUCCGGAAUUAUUGGGCGUAAAGAGCUCGUAGGCGGUUUGUCGCGUCUGCCGUGAAAGUCCGGGGCUCAACUCCGGAUCUGCGGUGGGUACGGGCAGACUAGAGUGAUGUAGGGGGAGACUGGAAUUCCUGGUGUAGCGGUGAAAUGCGCAGAUAUCAGGGAGGAACACCCGAUGGCGAAGGCAGGGUCUCUGGGGCAUUAACUGACGCUGAGGAGCGAAAGCAUGGGAGCGAACAGG
rnacentral:rRNA from 1 species